UGUACAACUGUUAGCGGUGGAUCACUUGGCUCGUAGGUCGAUGAAGAACGCAGUUAGCUGCGUUAACUAGUGCGAAUUGCGGACACAUUGAGCACUAAAAUUUCUAACGCACAUUGUGCCAUUGGGUCCUUUCCCUUUGGCACGUCUGGCUGAGGGUCG
rnacentral:rRNA from 1 species